CUUCAGACGGCGUGACAGGGGACAUUUGUCCAGUUGGACACUUUUGUCCCGCAGGCUCAACGUCUCCCGUGCUCUGCCCUGAUGGGACUUACUCCAACACUAGAGGGUCCGAACAGUGUGAUGACUGCCACUCAGGGACCUACUGUCUGUCCGGAGAAGGUGUCCAGCCUUGUCCAGCAGGACAUUACUGUAUCGGUGGCGGUGUUGAGGGCAUCCUUCCCUGCCCUCCUGGCACAUACAGCUCUCAGUUUGGCCUCAGCCAAGUGGAGCAGUGCCUCAUAUGUCCAGCAGGGUUCUACUGUGAGGACUGGGGUCUCUUUGAACCUAGCGGACCCUGCCAAGCUGGUUACUAUUGCAUAGCAGGUGUGAACUUUCAGAACCCAGAUGGGAACUUCAGCACAGGAGUAGGAGGCGCCUGUCCAAACGGGAUGUUCUGUCCUGAGGGCACCAGUCUCCCACUGCCCUGUCCACCAGGAACCUACUCCAACAGUCUUCAUCUGACAGAAGCUUCUGGCUGUAGUCCAUGUCCCCCGGGUCACUUCUGUGCCACGUCAGGUCUCACUCAUCCAUCUGGACUCUGUCAGGCGGGGUUUUACUGUCCAGGGGCAGACACAACAGCUACAGGUUCUGAAGGAGGUCUUUGCCCACCAGCUCAUUACUGCCCCGAGGGUAGUGCAAGCUCAGUGCCCUGCCCAGCUGGAGCCUACACCAACCUCACAGGGCAGCCUGUGUGUUCCCGCUGCCCCGCUGGAUACUACUGUCCAGAAAAGACUGGCAACUUCACCAAGUUCCCCUGCCCGCCUGGCUUCUACUGCCCAGAUGGUUCAAAGCACGCCACCCAGUUCCCCUGUCCUCGCGGAUACUACAACCCAGAGCCCAUGACUCACAGUCUGGACAGCUGCCUGCCUUGUCCACCUGGACACUACUGUGAGAAGGAGAGGCUGACCAAAGUGUCCGGGAAAUGCAAAGCCGGUUGGUUCUGUGUGUCAGCAGCUUGGACCUCCCAGCCUUUCGAUCUGGACAAUUACACAAAUGCCAACUGCCUUUGCCCAGCUACAUCCACAGGGGGGCGCUGCCAAGUGGGCUUUUACUGCCCUUUAGGUAGCUCAGAGCCCGUGCCAUGUCCACCUGGAGCCUUCUGUAACAUCUCAGGUUUGGCUCGGCCGAUGGGUCCCUGCUUCUCUGGCUAUUACUGUGAGGGAGGAGCCACCGAGGCGAAGCCAACAGAUGGAGAAACGGGCAGCAUCUGUCCACCUGGGGCGUACUGCGUUGAGGGCUCAGGAGAGCCGGAUUUGUGUCCAAGUGGUACUUUUUCCUCAGUGCCCGGUCUAAACAGUGAGGCUGGCUGUCAGAAAUGCACUGCUGGUUUCUACUGCAAAGGAGCAGGUCUCAGAGCUCCGACUGGACCCUGCAGCCAAGGGUUUUGGUGCCCACCAGGUCAGACUGUGCCUACAGCUCUGCCGUGUCCUCCAAGCCACUUCUGCUCACAGGGAAGUGCGGCUCCCGUUCCGUGCCCAUCAGGAACCUACCAGGACAGAGAACAACAGUCAGCCUGUGCUGUCUGUGAAGCAGGUUACUACUGCGAUUUGAGACGGUCCAAUGUUUCUAUUCUGAGGCCUUGCCCUGAAGGACACUACUGCCCUGCAGGUACAGCCCUUCCCAACCCCUGCCCCAUAGGCUCCUUCAACCCCAGAGAGCGCACGCACAGUGUUGCAGGCUGCACGCCAUGUGCUGCUGGACAGUACUGUCCUUUUGUAGGACUUUCAGAGCCGGCAGGAUCUUGUAAUGCUGGUCAUUGGUGCAGAGUGGGGGCAUCCUCUCCCAGUCCUCUGGAUGGAGUCUCAGGUUCCUUGUGUCCGCCUGGUCAAUACUGCCCCACAGGCACUACAGGACCAAUGGCCUGCCCUCAAGGAAGCUGGUCCAACGCCUCAGGUCUGCGUAAGCAGGAGGACUGCGCACCCUGUUUAGGGGGAUUUUACUGCAACUCUGUCGGCCUCACCAAACCUAGUGGACCCUGCGUCGGGGGGUAUUACUGCGUAGAGGGAGCCGUUACAUUCGCCCCUACUGAUGGA
ensembl:lncRNA